rnacentral:miRNA from 1 species
AGGUUGGAAGUCCAAGAUCAAGGUGCUGGCAG